AAGGAUCAUUACGAAAUUCGGCGCGCUUCGGCGCUGCCUUAUUCACCCACCCUUUGUCUACGUGUACCUCUAUAGCUUCCUCGGCGGGCUCGCCCGCCGCCAGGAACCCACGAAACCCCUUGCAUUAUACACGAAAACUUCUGAUAACAAACCUAAAUUAUUACAACUUUCAACAAUGGAUCUCUUGGUUCUG
rnacentral:misc_RNA from 1 species